UUCGGAAAGUAUCCGAUACUUAUUCAAAAUUAAAGAAAAUUAAUUUAUAAUCGUGGAUAGUUGAAACACUAUGUCGAGAAAUAUAGGUACUUGAAACACUGAAAUAGGUACAAAAUUUAUGGGCUUCCUGGUUUAAAAAGAUAAUAUCUGCACAAAGAGCCUUGAGUUUUUAUCAAUCUGCUAAUGUUAUUAAAACAAGCGGAGACACACAUAUACCAAAACAUUACACGAACUUUUUUUUUUUUUUUUUUUGGAAUCCUUGCUGAAGGG